CCAAUAGCGUAUAUUAAAGUUGUUGCCGUUAAAAAGCUCGUAGUUGAACUUCGGGAUUUGCUCAUUGGUCAGGCUUAAUUGUCUGUACUGGUGGGAUAAAUCUCUACCUUCUGAGGAACUUUCAUGCCAUUUAUUUGGUGUGAUGGGAAAUCAGGACUGUUACUUUGAAAAAAUUAGAGUGUUUAAAGCAGACUAACGUCUGAAUACAUUAGCAUGGAAUAAUGAAAUAGGACGGAUUGAUUCUAUUUCGUUGGUUUCUAGGAUCACCGUAAUGAUUAAUAGGGAUAGUUGGGGGCAUUAGUAUUCAAUUGUCAGAGGUGAAAUUCUUGGAUUUAUUGAAGACUAACUACUGCGAAAGCAUUUGCCAAGGAUGUUUUCAUUAAUCAAGAACGAAAGUUAGGGGAUCGAAGACGAUCAGAUACCGUCGUAGUCUUAACCAUAAACUAUGCCGACUAGGGAUCGGACGAAGUUAAUUUUAUAAUGACGCGUUCGGCACCUUACG
rnacentral:rRNA from 1 species